UCCAGACUCCUACGGGAGGCAGCAGUGGGGAAUAUUGCACAAUGGGGGGAACCCUGAUGCAGCGACGCCGCGUGGGCGAGGAAGUAUUUCGGUAUGUAAAGCCCUAUCAGCAGGGAAGAAGAUGACAGUACCUGACUAAGAAGCCCCGGCUAACUACGUGCCAGCAGCCGCGGUAAUACGUAGGGGGCAAGCGUUAUCCGGAUUUACUGGGUGUAAAGGGAGCGCAGGUGGCAUGGUAAGCCAGAAGUGAAAACCCGGGGCUUAACCCCGCGGAUUGCUUUUGGAACUGUCAGGCUGGAGUGCAGGAGGGGCAGGCGGAAUUCCUGGUGUAGCGGUGAAAUGCGUAGAUAUCAGGAGGAACACCGGUGGCGAAGGCGGCCUGCUGGACUGCGACUGACGUUGAGGCCCGAAAGCGUGGGGAGCAAACAGGAUUAGAUACCCUAGUAAA
rnacentral:rRNA from 1 species